rnacentral:rRNA from 1 species
GGGUUGUGAGGUUAAGCGACUAAGCGUACACGGUGGAUGCCCUGGCAGUCAGAGGCGAUGAAGGACGUGCUAAUCUGCGAUAAGCGUCGGUAAGGUGAUAUGAACCGUUAUAACCGGCGAUUUCCGAAUGGGGAAACCCAGUGUGUUUCGACACACUAUCAUUAACUGAAUCCAUAGGUUAAUGAGGCGAACCGGGGGAACUGAAACAUCUAAGUACCCCGAGGAAAAGAAAUCAACCGAGAUUCCCCCAGUAGCGGCGAGCGAACGGGGAGCAGCCCAGAGCCUGAAUCAGUGUGUGUGUUAGUGGAAGCGUCUGGAAAGGCGCGCGAUACAGGGUGACAGCCCCGUACACAAAAAUGCACAUGCUGUGAGCUCGAUGAGUAGGGCGGGACACGUGGUAUCCUGUCUGAAUAUGGGGGGACCAUCCUCCAAGGCUAAAUACUCCUGACUGACCGAUAGUGAACCAGUACCGUGAGGGAAAGGCGAAAAGAACCCCGGCGAGGGGAGUGAAAAAGAACCUGAAACCGUGUACGUACAAGCAGUGGGAGCACGCUUAGGCGUGUGACUGCGUACCUUUUGUAUAAUGGGUCAGCGACUUAUAUUCUGUAGCAAGGUUAACCGAAUAGGGGAGCCGAAGGGAAACCGAGUCUUAACUGGGCGUUAAGUUGCAGGGUAUAGACCCGAAACCCGGUGAUCUAGCCAUGGGCAGGUUGAAGGUUGGGUAACACUAACUGGAGGACCGAACCGACUAAUGUUGAAAAAUUAGCGGAUGACUUGUGGCUGGGGGUGAAAGGCCAAUCAAACCGGGAGAUAGCUGGUUCUCCCCGAAAGCUAUUUAGGUAGCGCCUCGUGAAUUCAUCUCCGGGGGUAGAGCACUGUUUCGGCAAGGGGGUCAUCCCGACUUACCAACCCGAUGCAAACUGCGAAUACCGGAGAAUGUUAUCACGGGAGACACACGGCGGGUGCUAACGUCCGUCGUGAAGAGGGAAACAACCCAGACCGCCAGCUAAGGUCCCAAAGUCAUGGUUAAGUGGGAAACGAUGUGGGAAGGCCCAGACAGCCAGGAUGUUGGCUUAGAAGCAGCCAUCAUUUAAAGAAAGCGUAAUAGCUCACUGGUCGAGUCGGCCUGCGCGGAAGAUGUAACGGGGCUAAACCAUGCACCGAAGCUGCGGCAGCGACGCUGAUGCGUUGUUGGGUAGGGGAGCGUUCUGUAAGCCUGUGAAGGUGUACUGUGAGGUAUGCUGGAGGUAUCAGAAGUGCGAAUGCUGACAUAAGUAACGAUAAAGCGGGUGAAAAGCCCGCUCGCCGGAAGACCAAGGGUUCCUGUCCAACGUUAAUCGGGGCAGGGUGAGUCGACCCCUAAGGCGAGGCCGAAAGGCGUAGUCGAUGGGAAACAGGUUAAUAUUCCUGUACUUGGUGUUACUGCGAAGGGGGGACGGAGAAGGCUAUGUUGGCCGGGCGACGGUUGUCCCGGUUUAAGCGUGUAGGCUGGUUUUCCAGGCAAAUCCGGAAAAUCAAGGCUGAGGCGUGAUGACGAGGCACUACGGUGCUGAAGCAACAAAUGCCCUGCUUCCAGGAAAAGCCUCUAAGCAUCAGGUAACAUCAAAUCGUACCCCAAACCGACACAGGUGGUCAGGUAGAGAAUACCAAGGCGCUUGAGAGAACUCGGGUGAAGGAACUAGGCAAAAUGGUGCCGUAACUUCGGGAGAAGGCACGCUGAUAUGUAGGUGAAGUCCCUCGCGGAUGGAGCUGAAAUCAGUCGAAGAUACCAGCUGGCUGCAACUGUUUAUUAAAAACACAGCACUGUGCAAACACGAAAGUGGACGUAUACGGUGUGACGCCUGCCCGGUGCCGGAAGGUUAAUUGAUGGGGUUAGCGCAAGCGAAGCUCUUGAUCGAAGCCCCGGUAAACGGCGGCCGUAACUAUAACGGUCCUAAGGUAGCGAAAUUCCUUGUCGGGUAAGUUCCGACCUGCACGAAUGGCGUAAUGAUGGCCAGGCUGUCUCCACCCGAGACUCAGUGAAAUUGAACUCGCUGUGAAGAUGCAGUGUACCCGCGGCAAGACGGAAAGACCCCGUGAACCUUUACUAUAGCUUGACACUGAACAUUGAGCCUUGAUGUGUAGGAUAGGUGGGAGGCUUUGAAGUGUGGACGCCAGUCUGCAUGGAGCCGACCUUGAAAUACCACCCUUUAAUGUUUGAUGUUCUAACGUUGACCCGUAAUCCGGGUUGCGGACAGUGUCUGGUGGGUAGUUUGACUGGGGCGGUCUCCUCCUAAAGAGUAACGGAGGAGCACGAAGGUUGGCUAAUCCUGGUCGGACAUCAGGAGGUUAGUGCAAUGGCAUAAGCCAGCUUGACUGCGAGCGUGACGGCGCGAGCAGGUGCGAAAGCAGGUCAUAGUGAUCCGGUGGUUCUGAAUGGAAGGGCCAUCGCUCAACGGAUAAAAGGUACUCCGGGGAUAACAGGCUGAUACCGCCCAAGAGUUCAUAUCGACGGCGGUGUUUGGCACCUCGAUGUCGGCUCAUCACAUCCUGGGGCUGAAGUAGGUCCCAAGGGUAUGGCUGUUCGCCAUUUAAAGUGGUACGCGAGCUGGGUUUAGAACGUCGUGAGACAGUUCGGUCCCUAUCUGCCGUGGGCGCUGGAGAACUGAGGGGGGCUGCUCCUAGUACGAGAGGACCGGAGUGGACGCAUCACUGGUGUUCGGGUUGUCAUGCCAAUGGCACUGCCCGGUAGCUAAAUGCGGAAGAGAUAAGUGCUGAAAGCAUCUAAGCACGAAACUUGCCCCGAGAUGAGUUCUCCCUGACUCCUUGAGAGUCCUGAAGGAACGUUGAAGACGACGACGUUGAUAGGCCGGGUGUGUAAGCGCAGCGAUGCGUUGAGCUAACCGGUACUAAUGAACCGUGAGGCUUAACCUUACAACGCCGAAGCUGUU